GUCGGGGUCAUCACCGUCCAGCCCACCACCGUCCCUGUCGUGAGCGAACUGCCCGGCCGCACGAGCGCGUUUCUCGUCGCCCAGGUGCGCGCACGGGUCGACGGCAUCGUGCUGCGCCGUGAAUUCACGGAAGGCGCGGACGUAAAGGCCGGCCAGCGGCUCUACAAGAUCGA
rfam:Burkholderia glathei PML1(12) contig00178, whole genome shotgun sequence.